rnacentral:rRNA from 1 species
GACGAACGCUGGCGGCGUGCCUAAUACAUGCAAGUAGGACGCAGUUGCGACCGGGUGAGUAACGCGUAGGUAACUACCUAUUAGAGGGGGAUAACUAUUGGAAACGAUAGCUCAUACCGCAUACUAGUAGAUGGACCUGCGUUGUAUUAGCUAGUAGGUAGGGUAAUGGCCUACCUAGGCAACGAUACAUCGCCGACCUGGGAGGGUGAUCGGACACACGGGGACUGAGAAACGGCCCAGAAUCCUACGGGAGGCAGCAGUAGGGAAGCGUCGGCAAUGGGGGGAACACUGACCGAGCAACGGCGCGGGAGUGAAGAAGGUUUUCGGAUCGUAAAGCGCUGUUGGUAAGGAAGCGGUACUUAACCAGAAAGGGACGGCUAACUACGUGCCAGCCGCCGCGGUAAUAC